CAGCAGCCGCCACGGUAAUACGAAGGGGGCUAGCGUUGUUCGGAUUUACUGGGCGUAAAGGGCGCGUAGGCGGACUGAUAAGUCAGGGGUGAAAUCCCAAGGCUCAACCUUGGAACUGCCUUUGAUACUGUUUGUCUUGAGUUCGAGAGAGGUAAGUGGAACUGCGAAUGUAGAGGUGAAAUUCGUAGAUAUUCGCAAGAACACCAGUGGCGAAGGCGGCUUACUGGCUCGAAACUGACGCUGAGGCGCGAAAGCGUGGGGAGCAAACAGGAUUAGAUACCCGCGUAGUCCCUGUCUCUUAUAC
rnacentral:rRNA from 1 species